GGAGAUGCUCUCUCUUUGCUUUCUUCAUCUCCUGCUUCUCCCUACGUUAAGAUUAGAAAAGUUAUUGAAAAAAUGUAACACAAAAGAAGAGAUAUUAUGAUUUAAUACAAUUCUAAGGAAAUAGAAGAAAUUUGAAUAAAACUCUGUCUUACACGCAAAGAUUACAAAGAGCAACAUCUAUAUUCACAUUUUCUCCAAGUCUCAAAGGGAGUUUUGCCAUAUUCCUAGACGAUAGCAUUUCUAAAUCUUUAUAAAAGACAUCAUGAUUCCAAUUUUCACCCAGCCCAACAACAAAUAACUGAAGUUCUAUGUCAUUGUAACUUU